rnacentral:rRNA from 1 species
UUAGAGCGCGAAGUGGUUGAUGCCAUGCUUCCAAGAAAAGCUCCUAAGCUUCAGAUAACUGGGAACCGUACCCCAAACCGACACAGGUGGUUAGGUAGAGAAUACCAAGGCGCUUGAGAGAACUCGGGUGAAGGAACUAGGCAAAAUGGCACCGUAACUUCGGGAGAAGGUGCGCCGGUGAGGGUGAAGCACUUGCUGCGUAAGCCCACGCCGGUCGAAGAUACCAGGCCGCUGCGACUGUUUAUUAAAAACACAGCACUCUGCAAACACGAAAGUGGACGUAUAGGGUGUGACGCCUGCCCGGUGCCGGAAGGUUAAUUGAUGGGGUUAGCGCAAGCGAAGCUCUUGAUCGAAGCCCCGGUAAACGGCGGCCGUAACUAUAACGGUCCUAAGGUAGCGAAAUUCCUUGUCGGGUAAGUUCCGACCUGCACGAAUGGCGUAACGAUGGCGGCGCUGUCUCCACCCGAGACUCAGUGAAAUUGAAAUCGCUGUGAAGAUGCAGUGUAUCCGCGGCUAGACGGAAAGACCCCGUGAACCUUUACUAUAGCUUUGCACUGGACUUUGAGCUUGCUUGUGUAGGAUAGGUGGGAGGCUUUGAAGUGGGGACGCCAGUUCUCAUGGAGCCAUCCUUGAAAUACCACCCUGGCAACCUUGAGGUUCUAACUCAGGUCCGUUAUCCGGAUCGAGGACAGUGUAUGGUGGGUAGUUUGACUGGGGCGGUCUCCUCCCAAAGAGUAACGGAGGAGUACGAAGGUGCGCUCAGACCGGUCGGAAAUCGGUCGUAGAGUAUAAAGGCAAAAGCGCGCUUGACUGCGAGACACACACGUCGAGCAGGUACGAAAGUAGGUCUUAGUGAUCCGGUGGUUCUGUAUGGAAGGGCCAUCGCUCAACGGAUAAAAGGUACUCCGGGGAUAACAGGCUGAUACCGCCCAAGAGUUCAUAUCGACGGCGGUGUUUGGCACCUCGAUGUCGGCUCAUCACAUCCUGGGGCUGAAGCCGGUCCCAAGGGUAUGGCUGUUCGCCAUUUAAAGUGGUACGCGAGCUGGGUUUAGAACGUCGUGAGACAGUUCGGUCCCUAUCUGCCGUGGACGUUUGAGAUUUGAGAGGGGCUGCUCCUAGUACGAGAGGACCGGAGUGGACGAACCUCUGGUGUUCCGGUUGUCACGCCAGUGGCAUUGCCGGGUAGCUAUGUUCGGAAGAGAUAACCGCUGAAAGCAUCUAAGCGGGAAACUUGCCUCAAGAUGAGAUCUCACUGGAGCCUUGAGCUCCCUGAAGGGCCGUCGAAGACUACGACGUUGAUAGGUUGGGUGUGUAAGCGCUGUGAGGCGUUGAGCUAACCAAUACUAAUUGCCCGUGAGGCUUGACCAUAUAACACCCAAGCA